rnacentral:rRNA from 1 species
UACGUAGGGUGCGAGCGUUGUCCGGAAUUAUUGGGCGUAAAGCGCGUGUAGGCGGUCCGGUAAGUCCGCUGUGAAAGUCGGGGGCUCAACCCUCGGAUGCCGGUGGAUACUGUCGGGCUUGAGUACGGAAGAGGCGAGUGGGAUUCCUGGUGUAGCGGUGAAAUGCGCAGAUAUCAGGAGGAACACCAAUUGCGAAGGCAGCUCGCUGGGACGUUACUGACGCUGAGACGCGAAAGCGUGGGGAGCAAACAGG